UGACCGCUGGCGGCAGGCCUACCACAUGCACGUCGAACGGUAACAGGGAUCAGCUUGCUGAUUCGCUGACGAGUGGCGGACGGGUGAGUAAUGUCUGGGAAACUGCCUGAUGGAGGGGGAUAACUACUGGAAACGGUAGCUAAUACCGCAUAACGUCGCAAGACCAAAGAGGGGGACCUUCGGGCCUCUUGCCAUCGGAUGUGCCCAGAUGGGAUUAGCUAGUAGGUGGGGUAACGGCUCACCUAGGCGACGAUCCCUAGCUGGUCUGAGAGGAUGACCAGCCACACUGGAACUGAGACACGGUCCAGACUCCUACGGGAGGCAGCAGUGGGGAAUAUUGCACAAUGGGCGCAAGCCUGAUGCAGCCAUGCCGCGUGUAUGAAGAAGGCCUUCGGGUUGUAAAGUACUUUCAGCGGGGAGGAAGGGAGUAAAGUUAAUACCUUUGCUCAUUGACGUUACCCGCAGAAGAAGCACCGGCUAACUCCGUG
rnacentral:rRNA from 1 species